UACGGAGGGGGGCUAGCGUUGUUCGGAAUUACUGGGCGUAAAAGCGCACGUAGGCGGCUUUGUAAGUUAGAGGUGAAAGCCCGGGGCUCAACUCCGGAAUUGCCUUUAAGACUGCAUCGCUCGAAUUGUGGAGAGGUAAGUGGAAUUCCGAGUGUAGAGGUGAAAAUUCGUAGAUAUUCGGAAGAACACCAGUGGCGAAGGCGACUUACUGGACACAUAUUGACGCUGAGGUGCGAAAAGCG
rnacentral:rRNA from 1 species